ACCUGCUCUACACCUAAUGCCAAAAAAGCCUGCAAAGUUCUCCUCUGCUACAAAGCAACACACAAAGCCCUCCUAGCCCAUCACUUGUUGCUCAAGAACAAGGCAAGCCAGAGUGGUGACACCGAUCCCAAGUGAGUCCAGCCAAGCCAAGUGGAGCCCAGCAGGGUGGUAGGAAGAGGCAGCAAAGUGGCAGAUCCCAUUCCCACACACAUGCCCAGCGUGGCAGACUGAUGGCAGGGGCAGUGCCAAACAGAGCUCUGCAGGGACAGAGAGACACCCAUCACCAUCGCCACUGCCACCAUCCCUGCUGCAGAGAGGGAGCAGGAAACUGCCACUGCAGGUGCACAGCUGCUCCAGGCAGCACCAGCAGUUCCCAUCUACCAUCAGAACCAUUCUGGGAGAGAGGAGAGGCUUUACAAGGACUACCUCAAGAAGAGGACAUAGAAUGAUGGAGGGAAGGCCUUAGAAAGAAUAAACAACCCUCAUGCUGCUGCUUUUGGAAGGAAUAAAUGUCCAAGUUACUUAAUAUCCAGACACAAAUCUGUGGAGUCUUGACAGACAAGAAGCACAGGAACCUGGACACCUUGUUGUGAGAGACUAGAGGAGAUUGCUGGCUCAACACUUUUCAGGGGCUUGUAUGUGGGGAAGGGGGCAGAUCAAGCCUUGCUCUGGUGAGGCGAUGCCCCACUCGGCAUGCCCCACACCCCCAGGCCUGUAUCCCAGCCCAGCAGCGGCCACUGAUCCCUGGCACACCAGAGGCAAUGCUCCACACCUGUGUCUGGAGCCCCUAACCCAGCUCCUAAAUGGCCAGCUUGGGGGACUCGUCUGGGAUAGCCACGCCUGAAGAGGACACCAGGACUGGGACGGCCGCCCACCCUGGACCUGCAGGACAGCUGGCUAUCGGGACCAGAGAAGAUCGGCUUGGGACAGUGACACGGAGCAGCGCCGGAUAGAAGAGUCCCGAAUGAUUAGGGCCGCAAGCAUAAGAAUUUGGGAAAAAGACAACCGUCCAGGGCCCCAAGUGCCAUCAGGAGAAGAAAAAUUGCCACUAGUGGAUCCCAAUUGGAAUCCUAACCAGGAGGAAGGUACUCCUCAUCGCUAAUUCGGCCGUGCGAACCAGAGAAAAAGGUUGGACUCACAUUACGAGAAUUAAAGGACCAGUCCCACCCCCGAGCAUUGGACAAGAUUCUUCAGUGUCUGGUAUUGGACCAGAUUCCACACCACCCUCACACCCUAACUCGGGACAGGAUUCAACCACAUCGGAAGUUAAUUCAGCUGAGUAUACUAUUAUAAAAGGACCAAAUGACUUAAAAUUGACAUUCAAAAAGACUGAUGAACUGCAUAAGAAAAAAGUUUAGAAUCAUAACAUGUCUUGAAGUGUUUUAAGAAAUUUGUAAAAGUUAAAAAUUGUUAAUAAGUAAUUCUGGUUAAGUCGUCCCAACUUGGUACCAAAGACCCCAGGUUAAUCUUCUCCAGAGUGCUCCCCUAGGAAGGACCAAAUUAGCAGGGACAGAUCAAGAGAGGUUUAACCAGAGGAGCAAGAGACUCUAAAGAACUUGGAGACUUCUUCUCAGUAAAAUCCUCAAGAGGCAAGGCCGGGUGGGCAGGCUGUGCAAGAUGACCCAUACCAGACUCUUGGGAAGGGUAGUAACGCUGGCUCUGAUUGCUGGUGGUGCUCUGGAGAGCCCAGGAGAGCUGUGCAAUGAGUACUACCAACCUUUCUAUGAGAAAGAAGUAAGCUCCUUGCUGAGAGUCCACAACAAUUGUGUUAACCUCUCCCAAUUGAUCUUUUAUCAAGAGAAUAAGAAAAUAUAUUGGAUGGCCUGGAACACUGCCACCUUUAGGCAGCCACUCCUGGGAGAGCACCCUGUAGGAGAAACCUGGUGGUGCUUUGAACAUGAUGCUACUGAAGCAAACCUGGUAAAUCUGGUAAAAGGAAAAAGUAUUUCUAAAUAUUGGGAGGGCACGACAAAAAUUAAUAUCUUUCAGGAAACCCCUAAACACUAGUUUUGGGUCAAUGGUACCACAACAUCCACUGAAUUGCCAAGAGGCUGGUCUAGUGGUGGCAUCAUUAGAAUUAUAAAACAAACUGUCUUUAUAAUACACAAAGAAUCUGGAUCAAGUUUAAGAGUUCCUAUAUAUGAGGAUUUGAGAAAAACAAAACUGAAGAAACAAUAUAUGUUAAACAAAAUCUUGAAACUACAAUCAGAAUUAGAAGUAAUAUCUAAUCAGACCGCAUUGGCUCUUAAUCAUAUUAAUGACCAACUCAACCAAACCAAAACAGUAGUUUAUCAAAUCAAAUUAAUUGUAGCAGUCAUUAGAAACACUUUAAGCGAAAUAAAAAACCUAGCAUAUUUAAGAAAUCAAAAGACUCUUACACUUGAUUCUAGUUGGUGGGAUAAUCUAUGGAUUUUCAAAAAAAGUUGGAAAACUAUAACCUUCACUGUGGGUACACUUGUUAGUCUGUUCUUAUUUCCAUGUUUAACAAAAAUAGUGACAUCUGCUGUACAGAAUAACCUAAAGAUCUCUAAAGGAAUUAACCUGAAAAAACCAAAAAAGGUAAUGAAGUUUAGUAAAUAUGAUCACCCUAGUGCUGAAGAAAUGUAUUAUCAAUACAAAAAAUAUAGGAAAUUCUAUGUUAAUGAGCCAAAAAUUAUAAGUUGAUGCAAGCUUAAGCUUGAUCAAAGAAAAAUAGGGGGGAACUGUUAUGAAUAGAAAAUUGUAAUUUUUUUCAAGUUUCAGAGUUAAAAAAAAACCAAGCCAGACCGAGUCAGCCUCCUUUGGUUUCGCUGCCGAAGGAAAGCUUUUCAAAUACCUGUUAAUGGCAGGUGAUUAACUGAUUGUUUCCCUGAUGCUGGCCGCAUGCCAAGAAGAUACCAAGGGAAACCCUCCAGGGUAAAGAGAAUGGGCAGUGACACCAGAGACAGCAUGCAAAUAAGAAACGCAGUGCACCCUGGAUUUUUACAGUUUUACAGUUUUUAUAAGAAAAACCCCUAAAAUCACGAGCCAACAAGUGACUUAAAGUGACGUCUAAAGAUGGGAGCAUUGUCCCGUACCUGCUUGUAUCUUUUUAUUUCUCACCCUAACCUGAAACGAAACUGAUUAAAGACACCCCCCGGGUUUCUAAACCAACAAACCAAGGACUCAACGACUCUCCCAUGAGGACAGAGUCCCCAGUUCUGUCUGCAGACCAGCGGACAAAACUGCAUCAUCCUCCUCCUUCGUGCCACGCCUGGGAGCAACGGCGGCGAGGGCGCAACCCGUCGAUUUCUCCCCACCUGAGCUGAUUCUUCUUAAUAAAGGCAUUAAAAAGGAGAAAGAUCUCCUGCCCAUUUAUUUCAGCUAGGGCUAAGUUAAUGCUUUAUAGAAUAUUCUCUGUUAUGUUUAAUUUUUUUACCUUUCAAGUUCUCUGAUUUUUGAAAGUUGACAGUGAAGUUUUUUUGUUGUUCCAAUCUCUUGAGAACAUCUCGUCAGUAUUUUUCCUGCUUUUCUAUCUCAAGAGUUCAGGAACAAGUUUAAGUCGUUUUACAGUAUCCCACAGAGCAACAUUUUUGGGGCCUUACAUUUUAAUUGGCGCAGCAAGCAGGGUACUCUUGAGGUGAUAUGGGCCUUUUAUACAGCUGUAAGUGCUCGUGACAUAAUAAAGGAGAAAUAAAUGUUCAGUCAAAGCUGCUAUUUUCUGGCAGGAAAGUAAUGGACUUGCACCCAGAAACUGAUCUGAACUGCUCUCCACUGACACACUUGCUAAAAGCUUAUAUAGAAAGCUUGUCCAGCCCUUAAGAGAGAUGGGGACGGAGAGAAACUAGCACCAUCCACAGUUUCUUCUGGAGAAAACAUGAACUUUGUUAGAAGAAAAUUAAAAACUCCCAGUAAAGGACCAUGCCUGGUAUCCAUAUGCAUGGAGGUUUGACUCAGAGCUCUAUGGUGCCCAUCAGCUGGAAAAGGAACUGCAUCAGCUGCAAAUUGCUGAGCCUGAAACAAUAGCCAGCCUUAGGCCAGAGUAGGAAUUGAAUGCCAGGAUGAAGCCAGCCCCCAAACCAUGACAAACCAGUGAAACACGCUCUUCCAAAGCCAAAGAGCUUUAGAGUUGCAAUUUAACACUGCUGGGGAAGGCCUGGAAGCAGUGUUUUCCAGACUCCAGGAACUCCAGGCCUCCCUGACUGCAAGGUCAGCCCCACAGCCCUUGGGAGGGCUUUAGUGCCUCAAAGUCCAACCCCGCCCCUCACCCUAAACUCUGCCCACCCCUAUAAAAUACAGAGGCAGGAUGCCCCGAAGAUGAUGUCACCUUCCUCUGCUCCCUGGAGGAGAGGUUCGGCUCUGCAAAGCCAAUCUUCUUCCCUCCUCAUCCCAAGCCCUGCUCACUGAUAAAGAAGGAAUUCGCUUAUCAGGAUGUAGUGUCUGGCAGCGAUACCUCAUUCUGCAACAGAAGUGGUUGAACUACACAGGAAAAUAAGCAAUGAUCGCAAAGAAAGGGAAAUGGAGAAUGUUUUGUGAAUUGGAUUUGGGGGAAUGAAAUAGAACUUUUGGAGAAGGAAGCACAUGGUGAAAAGCGCUGGUCUUUUGCUCAGGGAACAACUUGUGGUAUGAAAAGUUUGGACCCCUUGCAGAGGGGGGAACCCCAUACAAUGCAUGAGAAACAGCUAAUGCCUGUUGACCUUCUUCUGUGUUAUUGUAAGUUAUUUCAACAUUCAAGGAUCAAAACUGAGAAAACAAAAUCUUGGCACCACCUCCAAAAAGUUAUGGUUGUUGAUAGAAGGUGGUGGAUUGAAAUAUCCCUAGAGGCUCUCUGGAAAGAAAAUGGGGAUUAAAUGGGGACUCAGUUUCCCCAGAUUCUUAAUGAAGCUUUGCAAACUGCUCCUGCCCUGCCUCCUUCUGGCAGCCCUGGCUAUUGAGCCUUGUCUGCCACCAAAGGCUGGAAGCCGAAAUGCUGCUGCUAGAGCAUAACCCUUAGGAGAAAAUGCUUUUAUCAUCGUGCAAGUUUGUUGUUUUGGUCUCACUAACAAGCCUGAAUGUUCAAGAAUGUCCUCACUAGUCAGGAGACUGGGUGUGCAUCCAGACCCGGAAAGGAGAGCCACUUAACCAGAAGUGGAAAGGACUUUUGAUCCCAUGGCUGUGAGAUUUACAGCUGGACACUCCUAAAUUAUGUGAUUAAAGUUAGCUCUGGACACAUGGAAUUGUAUUGGACAGUCCAGUAAAUGUAACUCUGCUGCAGAUAAAGCUGCAAUGGAACAUUUCUAAAGUGAAAAACAUUAAAUGUUUUCUCUUUCUGCCCAUUUCCAGAGCAGUGUCCCUGGUAUGGCAGCAAGGCUGUUUGUUCCUGAAUUAGUCAACCAUCCUAGCAGGACCAUGUACCUAAUGACUACAAUAGCAAGUAUGGCUUUGAGUGCCAGAGGGGUAAGAGACCAAGAAAGAAAAGAGAGCCAUGUCUGUAGGAGUGUGCACCCUAAUGGCAGAGUGGCAAAACUAGCCUUUGUCCCCCAGAAAAGAAAAGAAGGCCAGAAGUUUCUCUCAAGGAUUAGGUGAAAAGCCACCUCAUGGGACCUCAGGGACUUCACCAAAUACUUGAGGACAUCUAAUUGGAUAGAAGCCAAAAAGUCCCGCUUGAUCCAUCAGGGAGAAAAAGAAGAGAAGAAAAGAGCUAAGUGCUUUUGUGAAGUGUUUUUACCAGGAGCAGACCUCUGCACCUGGCUCGAGUUUUUCUCUUUGUUAUUAUGCCUUUUAUUAAACCUUUUUGUUUCUAACACUGCA